CCCCGCGCCCGCGGAGCCCCGGCUCCCGCCUGCCCAGCCCCCUCCCGGGGAGCGAGCCGGGACCCAGGGGUGGGAGCAGAGUCGGGGCUUUGUGGCGCCGGGGGCCGAGGAAGAAUGAAACGUGCAGUUGGGAGUGUUGCUCGCGUCCCAGGGAGCAGCGCAGGCCCGAUUGUCUGCCGCCGAGAUGGCCUUUUGUUCGGAGCAUAAGGUUUAAGAAACACACACACGUUUUCUGGGGUCUCUUGUUGGAUGUAAAUGUGCCGCAUCCAGACGCUCGCGGNNNNNNNNNNNNNNNNNNNNNNNNNCGCCCCGCCCCGCCCCGCCCCGCCCCGGCGACCGGGACCGUUGGGACGCGGACCUCACCCAGACUUCUGGGCCGCCGGCACUGCCUUCGCCCCGUUUCACUCCAGACUAGCCAAGCAUCCCACGGAGAUGAUAAAGCAAACAAUAACAUCUGAUCAUGACGUCCACGAGAUAAUGUGCCCGGCAAAGUUCUUUAGGAAUCGGGAUGAGCGGGAGGGUGAGGGAGUGAUCGUUUCCCUUCGUUUUCCUUAAACGUGACUUUAAGAGAUAAAUGGUGAAGUUUAUACCUUGGCCUGCUGGACAGCCGGUCCGCCCCAUGGCACGAAGCUCGGCAUCAAAGGGCCAAAUUAGACAUUCGACCGGGAGCCCUCGAAGCUGAGGAUGUUACCUUUGAAGAACAGAAACAAUGAAAAUACAGAGGAAUUGCAUUUGGAUACUUCUUCCUGUCAAUCAUCUUUGCCAGAUUCCUAUUUGAACAUCCUGAAAAUGAGGAAGACAUCAGAUCUCGCCUUAAGGAAGUCUGAUACCCAGGAGAUGAUCCGAGUUUCAACUCUCUGUGGUGAAAAGAGGGUGAAGAGCAGCAGAAAAUCCAAUUCUCUUGACCUUCAGGACAUGGAGCAGAACUCAUCGCUUCCACCUGGCCUACCCAAGUCUAAGUGCUUUUCACCGUCUGGAAAUAUUCUAAGAUAGAAGAUCUGAGUUCACAUAUUUAAUACAGGUUAGUCUUUGGCUCUGUGAUGCUAAAUAGUUACCCUACUUAUUUCUGCUGUGUUGAGGCAGAGUAGAGGUGCUGACAGAGUUGAGAAAUUGUGGA
rnacentral:lncRNA from 1 species